GAGAAUGCUUUCUUUCUCCAAGAAGGUCCCUAUAUAAGCAGGAGUGGGCGUAACGAAACCAUCUUCGUAUCGAGUAUAGACCACCACACUUGUGUCGAUUAGUCUUGUAUCGCCGUUCGCCUGCAAGUUCUGAGAACACCACGAUGAAGACAACGGUGCUGAUACUGGCCGUUCUCCUUAUCUGAGCAGUGAUGCUGACGGAGGGGUCUCCGGCAAAAAUCCCAGGAUCCGGGUCACGGGGGCGUCCGCGAGGCAAGAAAUGUGGGAACUACUAUUGCGAACCGAACGAGACAUGCCAGCCAUCGUUUGUGGGGCCUGCAUUUGAGUACUUUACUUCGUCCAGUCGCCUUGCUUCUCCAACUUGGCGCGUGAGUGUCACGUGAUGUGCUUACGCCAUAUUUAGCUUGGAGAUAUGAUUUACGCCAGAUUUGUUAAAAAAAUACACCUGUGGGGAAACUGCCGACCAGCCAUUUAAGCGCAAGAUAUCCCUGUGCUUAGACGUCCUACUGAUUCUCCAUGCAAAGCGAAGACCAUAGACCGAUUAGUUCUUGAGCGUUACCGCACCUAAUGAGUUUGCAGAAUUUUAACCUGUCUGUAUUUUUAACGGGCCGCACAUACAAUAGUCGAAAAAUUGAAUCAAAUCAAAAGUACCUACGCGCCACGGCAAGCAGUAUAAAGGUAACCCAAUUCACUGUAUCGCGGUGUACCCGUAUUACCACUUGUGAAAACCUCCGUCUCCUAUGAUCUUUCUCAUUAUAAUUUACUGCAAUGUUAAGGGAAGGGGUCCAUUAGCACGAUAAGUGUAGUUGAAGUAAUAAUAAUACCUUUAGUGCGAAUAAUCAAAUCACUAUAUUCAUACAGACCUGCCAAAGCCUUUGAGCGGCAGUGCCUGGCAGGAAUAACAAUGCAUAACAAUGAAAGUGAAUAACAAUGUAAUUGUCCUAUACGAUAAAAAGAAAAUUUAGAUUUGUAAGCUUUUCUUAAUGGUGAUUACUUCUUCAGAAAAAAACACACCGCGUUGGGAUGGAUGUACAGCUCAUGGCGGAGACUUUUCACAUGAUGAUAGAUUGCUAUUAACCUAAUAGGUAACGAUUUGCUUAUAAAUACAACCUGUAGCUUGAGUAAAUAAAGAAUCCAUAAUUAGUUCUGGUAAAUAAAUAUGUAUUUUUUUUGUAUCAUCAUGACGUACGUUCGGAGGCCAUAAGUAUUUCAUAGUUGAAAUGAAAUUAUUUCUCAUAAGCUACCCUCAUUAAGGCUGCGAGAGUUUCGAUAGCUGUAAUAUAGAUAUGAAUUAGAACGACCAUCAUUUGAGGAUAUGAGGAGUUGACGAAUGGAAUCAGUUUUUAAGUUUGCAUUCCAUAAAAAAGAACAUUAGAACGAGAAGUCUCAAAGGUAACUGGCAACUUUUUUGCAGGAGCAGCGCUAAAUAUGCCGGCUGCCAGGUCAUAAAAUGCUCGCCUUGAGAUUUCAGUUGUAGGCUAAUGUUUAGAGCACAAUUAGAAUGUCCAUGUACAGGUACUGUCAGAAGCCAUGGCUGAAAUUUCACCAGCCCGCAAACAGCAUGCGUGUGCUGUCAGAGCACCAUCAUAU